UGAGCAAUGGAUAGGACAAUAAAUUACAGGGGGUCCGACUGGAUGCAGGGAGUGAGGUUAGGGGAUGUGCAGAUUCGAGGCUAGAGAUGGAGCCUGGGAGAACUGGGACAAUGACAGAAGGACCAAGAGUAGGGGUUGGAAGUGAAGAACAUUUCAGAGGCUUGUGGCUGUGAGAGGUGAGACCGGGUAUCUGUACUGCAAGACCCUCCUCUGAUCUAAGCCUCCAGGAAUCUCUGAAUCCUCUGAGUCACAAGUGUGAAAUCUCCAGCCGGAAUCCGCCAGAUAUCAACACCAGAGAAGACACUGGUUUGAGACUGAGGCAGCCUUUUUUGGGGCUGGGGAAGUCUCUUGGAGGAAAAGGAAGAUUGAGUACGCUGGGUUGUGUUCUUUGAUUCCAGGUGCCAGUCCGAGGGCCCUGCCGCACCUCUGGGAGUGGUUGGAGCCACUCUCAGAAGUCGCAGCAGUGUUGGGCAUCACGGAGGGGACGUGUCACAGGGUGGCAGAAUGGUGACAGCGGUGUGUGUGCCGUGUCAUCUUUCUCAAAGGUGCCGUGCGGAACCGGUCCUUUGUCAUACAGCAGGGCCCUCGUGGGAGCCGGAUUCCGAGACUUCAGGACAGACGGCCUCUCUGGUUGGCUUUCCAAGCGCCAGACCUGGAGAAUGACCUCAGGUCCCUGGAGAAGGCUUUGUUCUUUUCCCCCUCCCCCCAGCCUUUGUUCUUGGCAGAGCUAAUUAGGCUCAGUGGUUAAUUAACAGGUCCCAAAGCGAGGGAGAACAAUGGCAAAAGCCCUGGUGGCUUUGUCCCCCUGACUCCCCUCUUCCAGGAGGUGGGUCAUCCGGGCUGCUUUGAUGGGACUAGCUGGCCUGUUGGAAAAGUCCACCUGGGAAGGGCCUGCGGGCAGCCCCAGCUAACAGCCCGUGAGGAGCCGAGUCCCUUGAGAACGCUAGUGCCACCAACGGCCACCGCAGUGAGCCUGGCUGCAGUUCCUUUUCCACUGUAGCUCCCGCAGGAGAGCCCUGGCCAACAUCCCCACUGCAGUCUUACGAGAGACCAGGAAGCAGAGACCCCGCCUCGGCCAGGCUUGGUUUCCGACCAACAGAAACUGUAAGAUAGGAAACGUGUGUGGAUUAAGCCACUGAGAUUUGGCGUAAUGUGUUCACACUGCAGGAGUCGUUAAUAGCACACCCUAGAUUAACUGAUUUCACGCGUGCAUCAUUUCUCAGAGAGGUUAAGUAACUCCUGCCAGAUCACACAGCUACCGAUUCAUAGACUAGAUAUUUGAACUCACAUCAGAGGUGCUUCUCAGAAGAGGAUCAGGAUCCAGGAUCCUACACAGUCUGCUAAGACUUCUGGGCUUCAGUUUGCUGGAAUGAUCCCCUUGCUUUCAUUGUCUGAUGUGAGGGAGAAGUUAACCACCUGGUUAAGAAGGUAGUUAAGCAGGUGGUUAAGAAGAAGUUAACCACCUGGUUAAGAGGUUAAGAAGUUAACCUCGCUGACCACCAGGUUUUUGCCAGAGACUUUGCAUGUACUUUCACAUCCAACUUUCCCAAGAUGAGGUGGGCAUCACUGUACCCAUGUAUUGGAUUUUCUAUGGUGGGUUUUCCAGAUACUGAUCAAGCUGCUCUGUAAAAAAAAUAUUCUAUUGCUCAAUAUUUUUGGGAAACACUGAACUCUUGGA